GGGGCUGUGGGAUAGUCUGGUUAGCCUUCGAGCUUUGGGAGCUUGCGACCCCAGUUCAAAUCUGGGCAGCCCCA
rnacentral:tRNA from 1 species